GAAGUGGGCGAGGUCGUCCGUGUCUGUGCAGCUUCCUGUUAAAAUAUGAAUCAUGACAUGUAUGAUGCAGAUGAAGGUUGUAUGUCUGCUGUCUCAUUAGCUUUAACUUUAACUUUAUAAUUGCUUAUCAAGGUUUUCCAAAGAGAGAAAAAAAGACCUUUAUUUCCCGCAGGGCGUAAAGGAGAAUAGAUUGAUAUCAGUAAUUGCAGAAAUCCUUCCUCUUAAUGUUUGGGCUUUAUCCAUCAGUGAUGAAAGGCUUCAUUCAACUGCAGUUUUCUCUCUUUAUUGUGAGUCUCAGACACUACGAGGUAAAAAUUUCACCUCUGAUUAGACCCUUGUUAUUCAGCUCAUUCAAGUUUAUAAAAUUGUUACUCAGACUUUCUUCUUUGUCGACUGCAGGAAGAAAAAUCAAUCUUCACCCCGCUCACAUGACAGGAUAAUCUUUUCUUUUAUUCUUUAACCUGCUGCCGGUAUAGCGAGCAAAAGGGGGUGAAACCAACCAAUCGAAAACCAAAAUGAGAAUAACUAUUUCAUCAACAAAUCUCCUGGAUUUACAGAGAAAAACAACUUAUUUUGGAUAAAUUUGAGGAUUUUCUCACAAAUUAAAUUGGCAUGAGCAGGAUACUGCAGACUGGCAAGGAUGCACAGGGUUCCCCACACAAGUCUGCAGGGGUCUCAGCAGAGGGACUUCGUGUUGGCUUAAAAUCCGCCAAUCUGAUUUUUCUCACCCACUUUCAGAUCCUUUAUUUCUUAAAAGUGUCUCCCCCACUUAGACCUGACCUGGACUGUCAAAAACAAUGACUUCAGUCACUUUCUCUUGUUUUUGUGCAGUCUGGAUGAGCUCGCAUGCAGACUCGAGACCGUUUUCUGACCCGGUAAUGGAGCGAACAAGCCAUACAUUCAUGGCUGGUCACCGUGGCUCCAUCCUAACAUCAUGACCUUCAUAAAAACCUUCCAUUAACUCUUCAUUCCUGCACCGCAGUUGUGUACAAUUGAUGAACACACACAUCUUAAGUGUUCAUCUUGGCAGCCAAAAUGCCUCUAUAGCAGAUAGAAUCAUUAGCAGCGCUGCACCCUGGGAAAUCGUCUGGCUUCUUUUUUUAAUUACGCUGCUUCUGGAUGUAGAAAUGUCCCCGAACCCAAGAGGAAUCUCGGGAACGAGUGUUGUUUAGCUUUCUAGGGAAAUAUCUCCUUCGAAAUGUCCUCUAAACCGGAUUAAAGAUGAAAUGUUUGGGAUCAUUAGUUGAAAUUAUUCUUUUUAUGGGUUUUGGAACAUAAGCAUAUUGGAUUAGCCUCCACGACAUUGCCCUUUACUCAGGCCUCAGAGGAUGACUGUGUCGUCCAGGCUGGCAGCAUCUUCUAGUUUUAACCCUGUAUCUCUUUCUCUCUCUUUCUCUCUGUACUAUAGGUGGCUGAGACGGCUAAUGAGGCCACAGACAUCUUUCUGUUGACAUCAUUAAAAGUUUGUGCUCUUCCUCCAGCUCAAAGUUGUUGCGCCGAAACCACAAGAUGUUCUUUGAAGCCGUCCGGAGAGUGUUUGAUUGGGUUUUCAUUGAGCAGACAUUGAAGCAUCUUGUAUUGAUAUCGUCUGCUGUCUUGGAAACAUGCUGAGAGAUGCCGGAGGGUCUUAUAUUUUUCUAAUUGUGGAGAAAACAGCUCGAUACAGGUAAAAUGUUCAGGACUGAAGCAUCUCUUCAUUUAUAUACUUUACAAUCUCUUCAUUAGAAGGAGUGUCAGGUCUCUUGUACUGGGAAGUUGGGCUUUUAACAUGAAGCUGCCACUGAGUUUUUUUCUGCACAAACUGGAGUAGUUUGUUGGGGAAACUGUGGUGUAAAGUUUUGUUGGGUUGUUCCGUCAACAUUUUCAGGUGUCCUCACAAGUCCUUGGUUCGUUUUCAGUCCAGUACCGUUGUCUGUCUGGUUCGUCUCUGGAGAUUUGAGUGUUUUCCCUCUUGUUCUUGUUAGAUAUCUCUUCAUUCUGCUCCUUGUUUCAAUAAACACUACCGCUGUUUGUUUAUCAGUCCACCGUGGAGAUGAUUUUCGUGUCUUGACAUCCCCCUGGAGAUAUGGCACACACUUUAAGAAGUGCUAGCUAAAGCCUGGAACACACUAAAAGAUUUCCAACUCUUGUAAAUGUCAGAAAAAUCACACAUUUUUUUCCUGGACUCCUUUUUUUUUUACCAGCAGCUGAAAUCCCAAAUGCAAUG